CUCGUACCGGCGGCCAGGCAGGAAGGCGUGCGUUGGGAAGUGGCAGAGGCAGGUUUCCAGGCGUCCACCUGGCCAAACGCUACCUACCAUUUUAUAUGGUAGCCAGGUCUACCACAGUCAGAUGUGUCUGUGGUCCUCCCGUUAGCCUUAGUGCAAUUGACAUUAAGGUUAGCUCAUCUCCAGAUCGAUUGCUUUGGUCCUCACCAGCUGGUUUCCAAAGUGCUGUAGUGCGAUGGACAAGCUGUUGUACAAGGGGCCCGGAUGAAAGUCUUAAGAAAAUAAACAACGACCAAGCUGCAAAGAGGGUUGGCCCCGAGAUUGGAUGCGUCACCGGCACGGAUGUACUGGAGGUUAAACACAAGUAAACG